UGGAUCAAAGCCAGUUGAUUAGGGUGUUUAGCUGUUAACUAAANUUUUAUGGGUUUGAGUCCCAUUGGUCUAG
rnacentral:tRNA from 1 species